rnacentral:rRNA from 1 species
UCCUAACGAGCUGGGUGAUAGCUGGUUACCUGCAAAACGAAUUUAAGUUCUACCUCAGCCCCUUCCCCAAGACAAACCAAUCAAGUCCCCAUGCAAUGGGCUAAGAGCUAUUUAAAGGGGGUACAGCCCCUUUAAAAAAGGAUACAACCUCCACCAGCGGAUAACCCCACCCUAACCUAACCCCCGUGGGCCUUAAAGCAGCCACCCUUAAAGAACGCGUCAAAGCUCUACAGACUAAAAAUCUAAAAACAACGUAAAUCCCUGAACCCAUAGCAGGUCAACCUACAACAGUAGAUGAAUCAAUGCUAAAACGAGUAACCAGGACACCAAGUCCCCCAAAGCGCCAACCUAAACACCAUUAACAGCACAACCCCAAUACCAAACCCCCGACUAAACAUUGAGCACACCCUGUCAGACCAACCCAGGAGCGCACACUAGGAUGAUUAAAAUCUGCAGAAGGAACUCGGCAAACCUAAGACCCGACUGUUUACCAAAAACAUAGCCUUCAGCCGAACAAGUAUUGAAGGUGAUGCCUGCCCAGUGACACACGUUUAACGGCCGCGGUAUCCU